UAAGCCAUCCUGGUCAUAGUCCAGGCAGGCUUCCUGGAGGAGGCGACAUCUGAGGAAAUAACGAGGAAGACUCUGACAGAGCCCACAAUGCCCGCGGAUGGUGGGGAAGGUGCCAAGAGGCAUGCUGGCUAGCUGAGGCUAACAAUCUGGGAUUUUAAAUAUCCAUGAGAGAUAAAAGUGGACGAGUCACAGCCAUGGGGAAAAGGGGUACACAACAAGAGAAGCCAUGCCCUUGUGCUCAGGAUACUUUUCAGCUCACCGUCUGUACUGACAGGAAGCUCGUGAAAACACCACCAGGACAAGUGUGAAGCUCACAUAAGGCAGCAGGUGUGAGUGCCCCCUGGGAUCUGCAGAGCCAAGGCACGAUGCUGUGAACGCUAUGCUCC